AAAUUGAAGAGUUUGAUCAUGGCUCAGAUUGAACGCUGGCGGCAGGCCUAACACAUGCAAGUCGAACGGUAACAGGAAGCAGCUUGCUGCUUUGCUGACGAGUGGCGGACGGGUGAGUAAUGUCUGGGAAACUGCCUGAUGGAGGGGGAUAACUACUGGAAACGGUGGCUAAUACCGCAUAACGUCGCAAGACCAAAGAGGGGGACCUUCGGGCCUCUUGCCAUCAGAUGUGCCCAGAUGGGAUUAGCUAGUUGGUGAGGUAACGGCUCACCAAGGCGACGAUCCCUAGCUGGUCUGAGAGGAUGACCAGCCACACUGGAACUGAGACACGGUCCAGACUCCUACGGGAGGCAGCAGUGGGGAAUAUUGCACAAUGGGCGCAAGCCUGAUGCAGCCAUGCCGCGUGUAUGAAGAAGGCCUUCGGGUUGUAAAGUACUUUCAGCGGGGAGGAAGGUGUUGUGGUUAAUAACCGCAGCAAUUGACGUUACCCGCAGAAGAAGCACCGGCUAACUCCGUGCCAGCAGCCGCGGUAAUACGGAGGGUGCAAGCGUUAAUCGGAAUUACUGGGCGUAAAGCGCACGCAGGCGGUCUGUCAAGUCGGAUGUGAAAUCCCCGGGCUCAACCUGGGAACUGCAUUCGAAACUGGCAGGCUUGAGUCUUGUAGAGGGGGGUAGAAUUCCAGGUGUAGCGGUGAAAUGCGUAGAGAUCUGGAGGAAUACCGGUGGCGAAGGCGGCCCCCUGGACAAAGACUGACGCUCAGGUGCGAAAGCGUGGGGAGCAAACAGGAUUAGAUACCCUGGUAGUCCACGCCGUAAACGAUGUCUACUUGGAGGUUGUGCCCUUGAGGCGUGGCUUCCGGAGCUAACGCGUUAAGUAGACCGCCUGGGGAGUACGGCCGCAAGGUUAAAACUCAAAUGAAUUGACGGGGGCCCGCACAAGCGGUGGAGCAUGUGGUUUAAUUCGAUGCAACGCGAAGAACCUUACCUGGUCUUGACAUCCACGGAAGUUUUCAGAGAUGAGAAUGUGCCUUCGGGAACCGUGAGACAGGUGCUGCAUGGCUGUCGUCAGCUCGUGUUGUGAAAUGUUGGGUUAAGUCCCGCAACGAGCGCAACCCUUAUCCUUUGUUGCCAGCGAUUAGGUCGGGAACUCAAAGGAGACUGCCAGUGAUAAACUGGAGGAAGGUGGGGAUGACGUCAAGUCAUCAUGGCCCUUACGACCAGGGCUACACACGUGCUACAAUGGCGCAUACAAAGAGAAGCGACCUCGCGAGAGCAAGCGGACCUCAUAAAGUGCGUCGUAGUCCGGAUUGGAGUCUGCAACUCGACUCCAUGAAGUCGGAAUCGCUAGUAAUCGUGGAUCAGAAUGCCACGGUGAAUACGUUCCCGGGCCUUGUACACACCGCCCGUCACACCAUGGGAGUGGGUUGCAAAAGAAGUAGGUAGCUUAACCUUCGGGAGGGCGCUUACCACUUUGUGAUUCAUGACUGGGGUGAAGUCGUAACAAGGUAACCGUAGGGGAACCUGCGGUUGGAUCACCUCCUUA
rnacentral:rRNA from 3 species